CUAGCCUACGGGGGGCAGCAGUGAGGAAUAUUGGUCAAUGGGCGAAAGUCUGAACCAGCCAAGUAGCGUGCAGGAAGACUGCCCUAUGGGUUGUAAACUGCUUUUAUAUGGGAAUAAAUUGAUGCACGUGUGCGUUUUUGCAUGUACCGUAUGAAUAAGGAUCGGCUAAUUCCGUGCCAGCAGCCGCGGUAAUACGGAGGGUCCGAGCGUUAUCCGGAUUUAUUGGGUUUAAAGGGAGCGUAGGUGGAUUGUUAAGCCAGUUGUGAAAGUUUGCGGCUCAACCGUUAAAUUGCAGCUGAAACUGG
rnacentral:rRNA from 1 species